CCCGCGUGUUGCGGUUUGCCCUCGGUUUCCCUCGCCUGGGCCGGUCCGCUCCGCUCCGCUCCCCGGCCGGAGGGGCUCUCCCCGCCUAGGGGAGCCGGAGCCCGGGCCGUUGCGGGAGAAGGAGCGGGGCCGGGUGGUGUGGCGCCCCGGGACACCCCGGGAGCUGGGGCUUCUCGCCUCCGGUAGGGACCGAGCCGGUCUUACCAAGUGCCUGCUCCGCAGGGUAGGGACAGGAGUUUUGCUAUUAACAUAAGUACGAACGGGCUCCUGUCGGGAGGGGGCCGGGAGGUAGCCCGAGCUCCGAGCGAAGUUAGUUCUGAGAGGUUUGAGGUAGGCAGGUAAGAAGCUGAUCGCUGGCGUAAUUCGCCACCACCAGAGGAGCAGUGCUGGUGUCGGGUACUGCCGGCCGACCCCAGGGCUUUCCCCAAGACUUGGGAUGUUAGCAUAACGUCUGUCUGGGUGGAGAAACGGAAGGAAAGAUGGCUUGAGGGGAGAUUUAGGCUGGAUGUGAGGGAAAUAUUCUUUACAAUGAGGGCGGUGAAAUGCUUGCACAUGUUGCCCAGAGAGGUGGAUGCACCAUCCCUGGAGGCACUCAAGGCCAGGCUGGAUGUGGUUCUGGGCGACCUGAUCUAGUUGAAGAUAUCCCUGCUCAUUGGAACUAGAUGAGCUUUGAAGGUCCCUUCUAACCCAAACUAUUCUGUGAUUCCAUGAAACUCCUCAGUAUGGGAUAGGAAAUAGGAAAUCAGGAGAGGCAGUAUCGAGUGAGAUAAUCAAAAGAAAAAAGCAGUGCAAUAAAAAGGAUUGCAAAAGCAGAUAAAGAGCAAAGAUGAAAGAACGAGUAAAUGAGGAUCCAAGGGCAAAUGGGAACGCGUAUUUGUGAGGAUAUUAGUAAGCAGUUGGCCUCGAUGUAGUAAACUGAAGUGGGGGAAGGGUGAUCAUGGUUGCUACUCUGAUUUUUGUAAGGAAUGAAGGCCUGUUGCAAAUAGGCUCAGUUACAACACCCUGUCAGUGUCAGGGAGUGUUGGUAAGGUGGCCUCCCGUCUUCCCCAAAAGCAGCAGCAGUAAUACAUCACUCUUGAGACUUGCUGCCUUUAUACGCUUCUCUAAGUGACAGGUGACUGGAAGAGAAUCCAAAGGAGACCAUCAAGAACAAGCAGAGAUUUCAGAAGUGUUUCCUGUGAGAGUAAUGGGAAAGGACUGGGAAUUAUUUCUUCUAGAGCUGAUUGAGGGGAAAAUAGAAUCCAUGUGUAGAGAGUUACUGCAGAGAGGAUGUCCUGAUAGGAAGAGAAGUGAUUGGCUUGCAUUGCAACAAGGGAGAUUUAGGUGAAAUGCUGGAAAACACAUUAGUGGGAAAGAUAAUCUAGCAUGGACAGACAUCAUGACCAAAGAAUUUCUGAGAGUGGUCAUGAGUUACAUAAACUUUUCUCAGGUGUUAUUUAGUUAGCACUGAUUUAGAUGUGGAAAAAUAAACUAGAAGACCCUUUUUGUUUUAUCUCAAUGUGAUAGAUCUGAUUAUGAAGAUGCAGUGUGUUUAUACAUGCAAAGAAAAAUACUUAAUCCCAAAUUACUAUUUUAUCAUGUGAUUAUCUUUCUAGCUUAUAAAUAAAUCCUCAUGAGCCAAACAGAACAUCAGUUAACAAAAUCAGAAAAAUUCUCAUGUAUACACUGCAAAUCCUACAGACUUGAUUGACAGAGAAACCAAGCCUAAGCUUAUACACCAGUCAUCAGUUCACUAUAAACACGAGUCUUUUGGCCAUUGUGUAGCCUUAUGGCACAUUAAUUUUAUGACAUAAAAUGAAGAUGAAGAUUGAACAAUAGUAAAAUGCAAGUAGAAUACAAGUCCUGUAACACAUGCCUUCUAGCCUAUAUAGCAGUCAUCAUGUUGCAGAGAUUUUUCUAGCAAGACCUAUUUCUAAAAGGAAGUUCAGUUUUAUAUUGGAAUAUAUAUCUAAUGCAGUGUUAGCUAUCUUCCAAAAUAGUCAGCAGGAACUAACAUGGCAAGGUGGAAGGAAAAAGCUCAAAGUAUUCUGAUGGGGGAAAACAUCAUGUGGUACCUAAUAAGUCUGGUUUCAAAAAGUGAAGUGAGCUUCUUCACAGAAGUGCAGUUGUAUCUUCAGUUAAAUGCUGUUGAAAAAAUAAUUUCUGUAAAACUUUUAUGAAAAAAUAAUCAAUCUUGGACUCGGGCUUUGACCCUGAGAAGUGCUGAGCACCACAUUUUAAUCAUCUAUUGUUUAUGUCUGUGCAACUUAAUGAGUUUGAGCAUUUUAAUGUAUGAUUGCCACCUGCUAAAUUCAAUAGUUUAUGGCACUAGCAGUCAACAAACUCUGAAGGUGGAAUUGAUAUAAAAUAUUUGUUCACUAGUAGAUAUUAGCAAAAUAGGAAUUUAAAAUUUAAAUACCCAUGAAUAUGCCUGUUUCCAAAUGUAUCUGAAUGGAAUUAGUAGGGUUUUUUUCAGAAUUGUAUAGUCAGCUGCAUAGAUACAAGUUGUUCAUUAUCAACAGAAGCAUUAUCUUGUAUAUCUGUUAGUCAUACCACUUUAAUUUCAGGUCUUAUUAGUUAAAUAGAUUCUGGCAAAGAUAAUACUUGUUUAGAAGUCCUGCAGAAAGCAGUGCUAUUCAUUCAGUAGCAGUACAUAGGAACAGUAUGGCCAGUAUUCUUGCAUUAUGGUUUGAAUGACCUGAACACUGGAUGUUUUAUGAAAGGUGCCCUAAAGCAAAGAGGCCUAGCAGUAUGUCAGUGACCAAGACAAUCUACAACAGUUUGCCACAUCAGAAUAACUUCAUUCAUUAAAAGAACAAAGUGCAUGGUGUGUUUGUUCACCCCUUGUUCCCCUCAUCUUGCCCAAUUGCUGUACUUUUUAAUAACCAUAUGUGAAAGGCUGACUUAUGUUUAUUAGCAAGAAGGUAGUUGUACUAAUCUGCAAUUUUUACUGAUAUAAGGCACCCAGAUAGCUCUGUUUAAGAAAAUUAAUUGGGGGGGGGAGGAGGGAAAUUACCCUUCAAAUGAAAGUUGAGAAACUGAUAAAGCAUUCUAUAUCUCUAAAAGCACUGAAGGAGAUUAUAUUACUCGUACAGCAUUAUGUUUCAACACUAGUUUUCCAUGGAACAAAGUUGUUACAGAGGGCAUACACAAACUCUCACCUUGGCAAGUCAUAGGAUAGUUAGUGGCAGGAAAGCCAAAACAUUGUAACAUGUAGCUUCAUGUUAAUACCAUAUACUUGCUCUGGAAUGAUAAAACCUGUAGAGAAAAGCCUGGCGUAAAAAUAUGGUUCACUUUGACUCAGGAAAUUAAUGUAAUCUAAAUGCUCCCAAAUGCUACAAAAUCCCUUUAUUGGGUGUGGCUAGAAAUCUAGAAUUGGAUGUCUUAAAAGACGCAAAUUGUGGUUAUUUCAAAAAGACAAAUGAUGUGAUAAAACAGUCUCUGACUUCACUGCCAGAACGGACAAGAAGCUGGAGGCAAGAAGUAAGACUUGUUAGAUUUCUGAUGUUCAGCUGCUGGAAAACUGAUUUUAAAAAAUGUUUUAAUGGUCUAAUGAUAAUAGAUUUCUAAGUAUAAAUUUUAACAAUAAAUGCAUGUGGCUGAUUAUGACAAAGUGUGUUUCCUAGAAAGAUCCAGAAGAGCAUAAAAAUGUAAAGAAAAAAAAAAAAAAGGACACAGAAAUCGAAGAUUGGGGUUUUCACAAGGAGAGUUUAAGCAUUAAAUGGAGACUAAGAGCAGUCAGUAGUUGUGUUUGCAGCUCUAAUUUCAGUAAGUGACUUGGAGCCUGCUGUUAAACAAUCUCAUGUAGCUCUUACUGGGGAAAGGGAGAUACUGCUCUGUGUAAAUAAAACUUGAAGCAAUUUGCAGUUCUCUGAUACCUUGACAAAUGCCAAAGCAUAGAGAUACUACAGGCAAAGGUGUAUGAGCACUAUAGGAGAAGCAAGACUGCCCAGUCAAAAAAAAAUCUUCCUUUUCUCUUUCUCUGUGCUCUAAUGCUUUGCUACCUUCUGACAUUACGGUCACCAUGUGUGCUAUGGUUAGGUAUUUUUCCUACAAAAGAGCAAACUCAUGGAUAUAAAACCAAGCAAGUAGAUUUUUACAAGGAUUUUUCACCUGUUCUCUUCCCUUGUCUUGUUCCUGAAAUACUUGGCUGUCCUUUAGGUAACCUUACUGGCAAAAUAACAACAGGCAGCCUAAAAGUAAAUAUUAAUGGCAAAAAAAAAAAAAGAAAAAGGUCAAAAGUAGAAACCAGUUUCUGACUCUGAUUACACUGAUACAAAUUUAGUAUAAUCUUAAUGAAUAAUUUAAACCUCUGGGAUAUGAAUAAAUUAAUUGUAAUAUUACAGUUGGUUUAAUAUAGGUUAUUUAUUCUGUGCACCAAAAAUGCUACUGUUCAUAAAGUAAUGCAAGAAGAUUUGCAUGAAGAAGUUUGAAUAGAUUAGUCAGUCAAUUAUAUUGCCGAAAAAAAUUGAAAUUACAUAUGAUAUUUAUUCAUUUCUAUGUUACUCCAGCCCAAGUUGGUAGUGCUGUGGACUCAUUUUUCAUUUCAAUAACUCUUCAAUGAAACAGUCCCACAGCAAUAGGAGCAAUAGUUAAGAGUCCUAGCCCUAAACCAGCAACUUUUUGAAUUAUUAGCAGAGUUUGAGAAAUAAUCACAGGUAAGGAAUCUUGCUUGGUUCUGUGUUUAAGUAACUGUGGAGUCUGCAAGCCCUAGGUUUAGGGCUUUAGGGUUCUUCUCGUACAAGCUUAACAAAGCAUUUGACUCUGCUUGGUUUCUUUUUUUUUGUGAAAUGUAGAAAAUAGUGUUUUCCUGUAGCAAGGUGAUGUGAAGAUUUUUUGAAGAAAAAGUUCACAGUUGUGAUCUGGAUUAACCCUCCACUGCUUGGGACACUGUGGAAAUACCUUCAAGAGAUGGAUUAGAAGUUGUACCUUCAAGCCCCUGCUGAGAAUCUGAGAGGAGGCAAACACUUAAGAAAUCUAGUCCAAUUCCACAUAAUGUCUAGAUUUCUGGGAUGAGCUGAAUCUUUGGAUUUUUGUGACUUCGGUGUUGUACGUUUUAUGAGGAUUACAGUUGCAACUAAAGUUGUAAUACAUGUGUUUCUAGAAUUAAUAUUGUUCACAGAGUAUUCUAAUAUUUAUCCCUCAUAUUCAUGUUUUGCCUUUUUACUGAAUAAAAAUAGAAUCAAUACAGUUA